rnacentral:rRNA from 1 species
UACGUAGGGGGCAAGCGUUGUCCGGAAUUAUUGGGCGUAAAGAGCGCGUAGGCGGUCCGGUAAGUCGGCUGUGAAAGUCAAGGGCUCAACCCUUGAAAGCCGGCCGAUACUGUCGGACUAGAGUCCGGAAGAGGCGAGUGGAAUUCCCGGUGUAGCGGUGAAAUGCGCAGAUAUCGGGAGGAACACCAAUGGCGAAGGCAGCUCGCUGGGACGGUACU